UUCAAAAUUGUGUCAACCCAUUUUAUUCAUUAGGAGUCACUAUUACAUAUGGCAACACCUAAGGACAAAAUCAAUUAGUUGCAGUACAAAAGUGAGUUUUUAACCAAGCUUAGUAGGGAAGCUAUUGGAGCGUUAUGCCUCAACCUCUAUCAUUUAAUUAAGAGUUUUAGAAUUUAAAGAAGGGAAACAUUAAUACGCAACACUAAUACUUAUUAAUAAACUAGAUGGCGGUUGCUCAUAUGUAUAAGCCUAACAUUUUUAUUAUUAUAGAAGCACGAGUGAUGAAGUGGUAUCAACAUGUUAGUUUGUUAUCAUUAAAUUUAUACUCAGGGGUAGUUUCAACUUUUCAUCAUUAUCUACAACAUGUGUUCCAGUCUAAAAUUUGACAGCCAGCACAUCAGCUGUUCCAUGACCUCUACCUUCAACCUCUGUAACUUCUUGAUUGUUUAGGUUCAAAGUCUCAUCCUUUAUUACAAGUUUAGGUAUGCAUUUGAGAUUUUGGUGAUUUUUUUUACUUUCAUCUUCUGCUUUUCUUAUUCAUUUUCAAGUUCUAUCAAUCGCUUCUUCUUCUUCUUCUUCAAUUAAUAUUUGUGUAGAUUUUUAGUCAACAAUUUGAGCCAACAAAUAAUAUUCAACUUCCUUUUUUCUCCUCUUCUGUAGGUUUUGGCUGAAUAUAUUCACUUUGAUAUUGUAUUUUAAAAGUCAAGGGAUUAUCAAGUUAUAAUUUUGGUGAACAAGUAAAUUUGCAUUUGUCUAUUGCGUUAUUCUACUUUGGCUUGAUUCAAUGUUCUAUUAAGCUCUCUAUUUGCUUAAACAUACAAAAUUUUAUGCUUAAUCUUUAAAAGUAUUAGUGUUUAGUAGUUUUUAUAGGUUGUCAUUUUCUCUAUGGAUAGGUUUGAAGGAGUUCCCCUUUGUUGACCAUGGUUAAGAAAUUCAAAAUAUGAACUAUUUUGAGUAAAACUUGACUCUGCUGAACAUAGACUUACAAGGUAAGUUACGUACUAUUUUGAUUUAACCUUGUCACUUCAUAAUAUCAAGACAAGAGAAGUACUGCAUAGCUGAUAUUGCUUAAGUCGAUGAUAUAUAUAUGAUUACACCAUCUACAUACACAAAUUUAUACAAUGGUAGAAGUUUUUGUCUAGAAAAAUGAAAAAAGUAACAUAACCAGUUACUAUAUCAUUGUUCCUGACAGUUAUGCAGCUAAAGUUCUGCCAUGGUUGAUAAAGUACUUGAAAUCACCCGGAUAGUUGUUGAAGAAAUGUUUGAUAAAAAAAGGCAGUGGCUUGGUGGAAUUUACAGGUGAUUGGAAACCUUACGGUUUGGCCUUUAUCCGGCCCUACGGAUAGUGAAAGUUUUAAUGCACCAAACUAUCCCUUAAAGAGAUACAUUAAAAGAAUCAAGAAUAUAUAUGACGUCUGAUGCCUUGAAGGUGACGUACAACUGGCCCUACUACUACUACACUGUCUACAUUCAUCAUUUAAAUAUUUUUCGUAGUUAAACAUGCUUUGUGUAAAUCUCAUUGAGAAACUUUGUAAUUAGUCAUUGUGAGGCCAUACUCUGGCACUAUUCUUAGAAGGUGGUUAGGGGUAGGGUCUCUCUAGGUGUUUGUUUUGAGUUGGUUGGUAUAGUAAUAGUUUACGGUUUAAUGCCCCCUCCACAAUAUUCUAUAAUUAUUCAAAAGAUAAACAAUCUAUUAUAAAAUUCAAAAAAUAAAAUUUUCUAUGAAAUGUAAAUAGCAAAAUAUUAGGCCCGUGCUUGCUCUAACAUUCAUUAUCUAGUAUAUUAGAAAAGGGAGUUUUGACAUGCUUACUUAAUGGAAUUAAAAUUUCAACUAAGGACAUAUUAGUCAUUUCACACAUAAAAGUAGCUAUAGCUUUUAAACGUGUAAAAUAUCCUGCCACUCUCAUUGACACGUAUCACUCCUUACCUCUGAACAAUAUCAUCUUUCUUUUGCUAUUUUGCUUUUACUCUCCUCUGUUCCCAUUCUUAUUUCUUUUUUGAUUAUAUCCAAAAAUAAAAAUAAUCAACUUAAAUAUUUGGAAAUUCUAAGAAAUUCUUGAGAUGUGAAAUUGGGUUUUGAGUGGCUAUUUCUAAGCUCGACUUUUUCUCUAUUUGAGGAUAGGGUUCAGUCUGAUAUCUGAUGCUGAGGAAAUCAAAACUUUAAUUUUGGCAAGCAAUUAUGUCAUAGUUACCCUCUCAGUAACAGAGAAGAUGAGAUGGUUUCAAACAGAGGGUUGUCAAAAAAUACUAUGUGUAUAGUCAAAAGCCCGGAGUCAAGACAUAUGUAAGGCAAGAUUGGCUAUGCUUGUCACUCAGGGGUCACCCACCAGAUUAGAACUGACUCCACAACUAUUGUUAGUACCCAUGGUACAAUACUAGCACCCUUUCAACUGGGGUCACAGGUUGGACCCAGAUCAGCUCAGACUG